CUUGACCGAGCCGAGCCACAGGGGCCGGUCCUCCGCGCGGUCCUGCCCGUACGUGGCCAGCAGGGCCUGCGCCUC
rnacentral:antisense_RNA from 1 species